CAGAACUCCGAUACGACCUCCCCAUACCUAAUCAAAAUCAUCUCAUGUGGAACCUAGAUAUUACUCCAGCAAAUAAUGAAGAAGAGAGAAGGAUGCUAGGGUUUGGCGUUAGAGCUAGAGAGGGAGAAAAAGUUAGGGAGAAAAGAUCUUAUAUUCCACUAUUUGCAUUGUUAAAAAUCCUAAUACAACCUAUGUAUAUAUAUACACAGCCAUU
rnacentral:lncRNA from 1 species